UACGGAGGGUGCAAGCGUUAUCCGGAUUUACUGGGUUUAAAGGGUGCGUAGGUGGAUAAGAAAGUCAGUGGUGAAAUCUUCGGGCUUAACCCGGAAACUGCCGUUGAUACUAUUUAUCUUGAAUACUUUGGAGGUAAGCGGAAUAUGUCAUGUAGCGGUGAAAUGCUUAGAUAUGACAUAGAACACCAAUUGCGAAGGCAGCUUACUACACAGUAAUUGACACUGAGGCACGAAAGCGUGGGGAGCAAACGGG
rnacentral:rRNA from 1 species